rnacentral:ncRNA from 1 species
GCAAUUUAUAGAUGCACUAGUCCGCGUCGUUCAGAGAAUGAACGACUAGAAAAUCGGGUGAAUUGCAGGGAACUCCUUAGAGGAAAGCAAGCCACAACGUGACUGGAAACGGUGAGCGUGAAGGCUAUAAAAAUUGCUUUCAUUGGACAAUCUGCAGCCAAGCGUCAUUGGGCAAAGGUAAUGGCGAAGGUUCAACGACUAGAGAGUGAGUCCCAACAAUAAACUCUCAUUAGCGCCCGACCCCUAACAGAUUAAGCUGAGGGUGAUGAUAUAGUCUAGUCCGA